rnacentral:misc_RNA from 1 species
UACGGAGGGUGCGAGCGUUGUCCGGAAUUACUGGGCGUAAAGCGCACGUAGGCGGAUUGUUAAGUGAGGGGUGGAAUCCCAGGGCUCAACCCUGGAACUGCCUCUCAUACUAGCAAUCUCGAGCUCGAGAGAGGUGAGUGGAAUUCCGAGUGUAGAGGUGAAAUUCGUAGAUAUUCGGAGGAACACCAGUGGCGAAGGCGGCUCACUGGCUCGAAACUGACGCUGAGGUGCGAAAGCGUGGGGAGCAAACAGG